rnacentral:rRNA from 1 species
UACGUAGGGUACGAGCGUUGUCCGGAAUUAUUGGGCGUAAAGAGCUUGUAGGCGGUUUGUCGCGUCUGCUGUGAAAAUCCGGGGCUCAACCCCGGACUUGCAGUGGGUACGGGCAGGCUAGAGUGUGGUAGGGGAGACUGGAAUUCCUGGUGUAGCGGUGAAAUGCGCAGAUAUCAGGAGGAACACCGAUGGCGAAGGCAGGUCUCUGGGCCACUACUGACGCUGAGAAGCGAAAGCAUGGGGAGCGAACAGG